rnacentral:rRNA from 1 species
GUGGUAAUGCCGGAUGCUCCGACUCCUCGCAUGGGGUGUCGGGAAAGAUUUCAUCGGUAUGGGAUGGGGUCGCGUCCUAUCAGGUAGUCGGCGGGGUAACGGCCCACCGAGCCUACGACGGGUAGCCGGCCUGAGAGGGCGACCGGCCACAUUGGGACUGAGAUACGGCCCAGACUCCUACGGGAGGCAGCAGUGGGGAAUAUUGCACAAUGGGCGCAAGCCUGAUGCAGCGACGCCGCGUGCGGGAUGACGGCCUUCGGGUUGUAAACCGCUUUUGAUCGGGAGCAAGCCUUCGGGUGAGUGUACCUUUCGAAUAAGCACCGGCUAACUACGUGCCAGCAGCCGCGGUAAUACGUAGGGUGCAAGCGUUAUCCGGAAUUAUUGGGCGUAAAGGGCUCGUAGGCGGUUCGUCGCGUCCGGUGUGAAAGUCCAUCGCUUAACGGUGGAUCUGCGCCGGGUACGGGCGGGCUGGAGUGCGGUAGGGGAGACUGGAAUUCCCGGUGUAACGGUGGAAUGUGUAGAUAUCGGAAAAGAACACCA